rnacentral:lncRNA from 1 species
AUGCAUAAUGAUAAACAUAAGCGACCGGCAGCACUGGGUCGUCUCAUGAACAAAUCGCCCUCUGUAAGGUCAUGUCUGCCCCUCUGGAGGGCUGAGGGAGAAGCCGUGGAGACCCCCAGGGUAUGUGGGAGAAGCCCAGGCCCAGAGGGAAGGCCACUUGGGAGCCCGACAGCUCAACAAAGGCUGAAAGGACCUGCAGGAAAAUGUUUUAAAGAAUUAAUGCAAGCCCCAAAAGAGGGCCUAAAGUCAAAGGGCGACAAGGUAAAUCAUCUUCAUCUUGGGAGAAAGGCUGCUGUAAUGCUAAACCCCACUCCAAGCCUCUCUUCUGAGAAGCCUGACUUGAUCCAACUUAGAACAGCAAAAAAACAAAGCAGAAUAAAAGCCAGUCUGUUAGGUGCUCCUAAAUGGUUUCUGCUGUCCUCUGCAAUCCAAGGGCAGAGGGGUUUGCGCACAGCUUUCUGUAACCCAAUCUGCACCCAGGAGGCAGAGAAACAACAGCUAGCCACUGAGGGAUUAAAACGAGUAAGAUCACUUUCCUGUCACUUCUGCCAGUACUUCUAGGCAAAGAAAGCAGAAAUCAUAAGACAAAAGUUGGUGCUAUGAAGCAGUUUAAGAGCUCUUUGUGAAACGUUAUCUUGAUUUCAAGAUUUUCUCCUUUAAUGACAAGGGAAAUUGAACUGCGUGAAGGAUGGACACCAUAUACACAUUUGCUUAUGCUGUUACCCUGUAUAUAAUUAGAUGAUGUGAACCUAGUAGUUGUUGGGAAGUUAAGUUUUAAUGGAAAGAAGUAUAUUUUUACCCCUGUAAAAAGUUAGAAUAAUGACUAUGUAAUGCGGGAAAAAAACUAAUGUAAAAUGAGAAAAAAUGACUGGUUUAUGUUUGAGUUUCAUUGAAUAUUUUGUCUCCUAAGGAUACAGAACCAGGAUUACUUUUAUAAACAAAUUAAAUUAUUAUGAGUCAAGGAAACUCUAAGACAAGAAUAGCUUAAGUUCUUAAGAUGAUUGGACUCUCAAUUAAAAAAGAGCUCCUUGAGGUUUGUAAAUGUUUUAACAUCUGUUUUAUGAUUUAACUGUCAAACUAAAUUAUCCUCAACUGGGACUGUACUACCUAGCGAAGCCUACCAGUUCCUCUGACUGUUUCAGAACCUUGAAGUCACAGAAUAUGUAGGAAACCUUACUAGUCACUCUAGUCCAGCAACUUGCCUGAUGGGAGCAACAUCCUUGACAGAUAUUUUCAGUUUUUAAAAGGUUCCAAUUGACAGAGCAUUUUUCCUUAUAGAAUUUUCUCCAGUUUGUGGGUGACCUUAUACUACAGACAGGAAGGAGAAUGACGUAGUCACUUCUGUGCCUACAACGUGUCAGAUAUUGUGGUGGGAGUUUUACAUAUUUUUUUAAAAUGUGCUCUUCACUGCCUACAACGUGUCAGAUAUUGUGGUGGGAGCUUUACAUAUUUUUUUUUUCAUGUGCUCUUCACGGGUUUCCCAGGUGACACAGUAGGUAAAGAAUCUGCUGCAAUGCAGGAGAUGCAAGAGACUCAGGGUCGAUCCCUGGGUGGGUGAGAGCCCCUGGAAGAGGGCAUGGAAACCCACUCCAGUAUUCUUGCCUGGAGACUCCCAUGGACAAAGGAGUGGCAGGCUACAAUCGCAUAGGGCUGCAAAGAGUUGGACAUGACUGAGUGGCUAACCCUUUCAUUUUCAGGAAAUGAAUCUUAUCAGCACAGGACUGAAGGCAAUAAUAUACAACAGAUGCUUUCCACUGUGAAAGGCACUGAGACCAAUUCUGGUCUUGCUGUUUCUGAAUGCUAGGACACGGCCAGAGAAUCAAUACCAAUAUGUAUCAUUCUCUUAAACUAACAAUAAAAAUUCCAAAGAAGAAUUGCAGCAAAACUGUAGACAUGAUCAAAAGAAGCAGUAUUAAACCAAUGAGUCAACUCUUUGUAUGAGGUGGCCAAAGUACUGGAGUUUCAGCUUCAGCAUCAGUCCUUCCAAUGAACACCCUGGACUGACCUCCCUUAGGAUGGGCUGGUUGGAUCUCCUUGCAGUCCAAGGGUCUCAGCUUUCUUCACAGUCCAACUCUCAUAUCUAUACAUGACUACUGGGAAAACCAUAGCCUUGACUUUAAAUAGGAGUGUUGGCAAAGUAAUGUCUCUGCUUUUCAAUAUG